rnacentral:rRNA from 1 species
CCUACGGGGGGCUGCAGUGGGGAAUAUUGGACAAUGGGGGGAACCCUGAUCCAGCCAUGCCGCGUGUGUGAAGAAGGCCCUCGGGUUGUAAAGCACUUUCAGUGAGGAAGAACGCCUGGUGGUUAAUACCCAUCAGGAAAGACAUCACUCACAGAAGAAGCACCGGCUAACUCCGUGCCAGCAGCCGCGGUAAUACGGAGGGUGCGAGCGUUAAUCGGAAUUACUGGGCGUAAAGCGCGCGUAGGUGGCUUGAUAAGCCGGUUGUGAAAGCCCCGGGCUCAACCUGGGAACGGCAUCCGGAACUGUCAAGCUAGAGUGCAGGAGAGGAAGGUAGAAUUCCCGGUGUAGCGGUGAAAUGCGUAGAGAUCGGGAGGAAUACCAGUGGCGAAGGCGGCCUUCUGGACUGACACUGACACUGAGGUGCGAAAGCGUGGGUGGCAAACAGGAUUAGAUACCCCUGUAGUC